UAAAAUUGUUGUGUUAAAGUUGGGAUUUC
rnacentral:piRNA from 1 species